rnacentral:lncRNA from 1 species
UUAUAAAUUUGUAAAAUUGUUGGCACAAUCUAUACUUUAUAUGAAGUUUUAUGAGAAUUUAGGGUUUGAUCAUCAAAUUGAUUAGUUAAUUUCCCUCCAAACUGAUGUAGUUUAUUGACCCAAAAGUUGAUAUUUUAUGUACUGGGAAGCUAUUGUAGGGUUUUGAUUACUGCUUCAAAACCGUAAAUUUCUCAAUUGAUAAUAUUAGUCUGUUAUUUACUUUUCUGCUGAACUACUGUGUCAGAGUUUGUUAUUUUGACAGGGGAGAACGGCCAGACCUAAUUUGGCUCUCUGGAGAGGAUCUCUUGGAUGCUUAGGCUCCUUUUCAUCUAUUCUAGGGUUUUCUCUUCCAUUCUUCUUCCAUUUUUCAUCUAGUUUCACCAUGUCUAUGGUGAACUAAACCCUAUUGUUGUUGGGGAAAACAAUGUAAUCUUUUGAUACUCUCUCUUAUUGAAACUAUUGAUUAUUUAUAUGGUCUCCAUAUGUUUGAUUGAUUAUUAUUGGGUUACAAUCUGUGCUUAAGGCCUUUGUCGUUUAACUCAUUCGGUAUAUUGAUGUUUGUCUUUAUUNAUAUGGGGACGUACAGUAAUGACAUGAACUGGUGAGUAAUCUCUUGAUUUUGCAAUACCACCUAGGGAUAGGGGUAGGACGAUCAAUUGCGCUAACUUCUGUUUAUAAUGCGGUAUUAAUUACUAGGGGAGGCUAGGGAUAGCAACCCAGUAGUUAAUAUUAGGCCCUUUUCGCCGAGGGAUCGGGUUAAGGGAAGGCUAAGAAAGUCGCAUAACAAUUGAAUCAAUCAACUAAUAAUUAAGGGUAGUAUGUAAGAGAGAGUGGAAUAGAUGAAAUUGUUAGUACCCAACAACAUCCAUUCAUCCAUUGUUUUCACUUGUCAAUUGAAUCAACCUUUAUUUUGCAUGUUAAUAUUUUUGCUCUCAAAUCCAAUUUAUUAAUUUUAAUUUCUCAAGUCUUAUUAUUUUAAUUCACGCGAACGAGGAAGCCAUACGAGUCUCUUGGGAAAACGAUACUUGGUCUAACCAUUUAUAUUACUUGUACGAUUUGGUACACUUGCCAAUUUGUGAACAAGAAUCCGCC